CUAUGGCCAUACUACCGUGAACACACCUGGUCUCAGAUGCUAAGCAGGGUCAGGCCUGGUUAGUACUUGCAUGGGAGACAAUGGUUUUACUACUGCUCUUUCCCUCUGCAAACACUUGUUCUCUCAGUAGU
rnacentral:rRNA from 1 species